rnacentral:rRNA from 1 species
GUGGCGGACGGGUGAGUAACGCGNCCCUNNUNGCCUUACAGACUGGGACAACAUUUGGAAACGAAUGCCCUUACNGGAUAUUAUGAUUGGGUCGCAUGAUCUGGUUAUGAAAGCUAUAUGCGCUGUGAGAGAGCUUUGCGUCCCAUUAGUUAGUUGGUGAGGUAACGGCUCACCAAGACGAUGAUGGGUAGCCGGCCUGAGAGGGUGAACGGCCACAAGGGGACUGAGACACGGCCCUUACUCCUACGGGAGGCAGCAAGGGGGAAUAUUGGACAAUGGACCAAAAGUCUGAUCCAGCAAUUCUGUGUGCACGAUGAAGUUUUUCGGAAAUGUAAAGUGCUUUNCAGUUGGAAAGAAGUCAGUGACGGUACCCAACAGAAGAAGCGACGGCUAAAUACGUGCCCAGCAGCCGCGGUAAUACGUAUGUCGCAAGCGUUAUCCGGAUUUAUUGGGCGUAAAGCGCGUCUAGGCGGCUUAGUAAGUCUGAUGUGAAAAUGCGGGGCUCAACCCCGUAUUGCGUUGGAAACUGCUAAACUAGAGUACUGGAGAGGUAGGCGGAACUACAAGUGUAGAGGUGAAAUUCGUAGAUAUUUGUAGGAAUGCCGAUGGGGAAGCCAGCCUACUGGACAGAUACUGACGCUAAAGCGCGAAAGCGUGGGUAGCAAACAGGAUUAGAUACCCUGGUAGUCCACGCCGUAAACGAUGAUUACUAGGUGUUGGGGGUCGAACCUCAGCGCCCAAGCUAACGCGAUAAGUAAUCCGCCUGGGGAGUACGUACGCAAGUAUGAAACUCAAAGGAAUUGACGGGGACCCGCACAAGCGGUGGAGCAUGUGGUUUAAUUCGACGCAACGCGAGGAACCUUACCAGCGUUUNGACAUCCCAAGAAGUUAACAGAGAUGUUUUUCGUGCCUCUUCGGAGGAACUUGGUGACAGGUGGUGCAUGGCUGUCGUCAGCUCGUGNUCGUGAAAUGUUGGGGUUAAGUCCCGCAACGAGCGCAACCCCNUUUCGUAUGUUANCCAUCAUUAAGUUGGGGACUCAUGCGAGACUGCCUGCGAUGAGCAGGAGGAAGGUGGGGAUGACGUCAAGUCAUCAUGCCCCUUAUACGCUGGGCUACACACGUGCUACAAUGGGUAGUACAGAGAGCUGCAAACCUGCGAGGGUAAGCUAAUCUCAUAAAACUAUUCUUAGUUCGGAUUGUACUCUGCAACUCGAGUACAUGAAGUUGGAAUCGCUAGUAAUCGCAAAUCAGCUAUGUUGCGGUGAAUACGUUCUCGGGUCUUGUACACACCGCCCGUCACACCAGCGAGAGUUGGUUGCACCUGAAGUAACCAGGCCUAACCGUAAGGAGGGAUUUCCGAUGGUGU